AAAUUGAAUUCAGUUAUUCGAAAAGGAAUUUGCUUCAUCAAACAGUCUCUGCAUAUGCUCUUCUCUUUCACAAAAUCUCUCCUCUCUUCUAUCUGGUCCAGUCUACCCUAGCCUGUGUGUUAACGGUUCAAACUCUAGACGAUCGAUAUUGUAUCUUCAAAAGUCCUGAAAUAUGAGCAACCGUGUCGAAAAUGUGUCAAUUAACUUACGAAAUCUAGAUGGGAUCAUUCUGGAGGAAGAAGAUAGAGGACAUAAAAACAGAAGUGCAAAAGGGCCAGCAGUAGAGGAAAUUCUUAAAAUGCAUGAUAAGGCAACGCAUAGAUGGAAUACAUUCUUCAUCAUUGUCUGUGCAUUUGCGGUCUUCAUUGAUCCUUUGUUCUGUUAUAUCCAUGUCAUUUGGGAGCACCAUAUGUGCUUCCAUUACGACUGGACAUUGGUCCGGACAUAUAUUGGUUUACGAACAGCUGUUGAUGUCUUCUAUAUAAUUGACAUUAUCAUUUUCUUCUGUGGUAUUUGUAAGAAACGUAAAGGUAAAAAAUUUGGGGCAUGCUGGAAGGCUAGAAAUGAUCAGCAGACAGUACUUGCUUUGAAAGAAGUAAAAAAAAAAAGGGUACUUGCUUCCGUUAUCCAUCCUACCUCGCAUUUUGGUUUCUCUUCCCAUUC